AGAGCGAACGCUGGCGGCAGGCCUAACACAUGCAAGUCGAACGGACUCUUCGGAGUUAGUGGCGGACGGGUGAGUAACACGUGGGAACGUGCCUUUUGGUUCGGAAUAAGCUCGGGAAACUGGGUCUAAUACCGAAUGUGCCCUUACGGGGGAAAGAUUUAUCGCCAUUAGAGCGGCCCGCGUCUGAUUAGCUAGUUGGUGGUGUAAUGGACCACCAAGCGACGAUCAGUAGCUGGUCUGAGAGGAUGACCAGCCACAUUGGGACUGAGACACCGGCCCAAACUCCGUACGGGAGGCAGCAGGUGGGAAUCGUGACGCAAAGUGGGCAAACGCCUAGACGCGAGCCAUCGGCCGCGUUGUAUGAGUGAAGGUCGUUAGGAUUAGUAAAUUACGUUUCACGGUAGAAG
rnacentral:rRNA from 1 species